AUAUUAAUAAGCGGAGGAAAAGAAAACAACAGUGAUUCCCCCAGUAACUGCGAGUGAAGCGGGACAAGCUCAGACUGAAAAUCUUCGGAAUUGUAGUCUGUAGAAGUCAGGUCAGCCAUUGUCGUCGAGCAAACUCUUUCUGGAAUGAAGGGCCGUGGAGGGUGAUAGCCCCGUCUAUGCUUGAUGUACAAGGUGUACGACCGGCUUUCAACGAGUCGAGUUGUUUGGGAUUGCAGCUCUAAGUGGGUGGUAAAUUCCAUCUAAAGCUAAAUAUCGGUGGGAGACCGAUAGCGCACAAGUA
rnacentral:rRNA from 1 species